rnacentral:rRNA from 1 species
CGCCUGUUUACCAAAAACAUCGCCUCUUGCAACCAUAAUGAAUAAGAGGCCCCGCCUGCCCUGUGACUAAAUUAGUUUAACGGCCGCGGUAUCAUGACCGUGCAAAGGUAGCGUAAUCACUUGUCUUUUAAAUGGAGACCCGUAUGAAUGGCCUUACGAGGGCUUAGCUGUCUCCUCUCUCCAGUCAAUGAAAUUGAUCUCCCCGUGCAGAAGCGGGGAUGACUACAUAAGACGAGAAGACCCUAUGGAGCUUUAGACACUAGAACAGACUAUAUACACUAGUCUUAACACAAGACAGAACCAAAAAAGACCCCUGUUCCAAUGUCUUCGGUUGGGGCGACCACGGGGCAAUACAAAACCCCCGCGCGGAACAAGGACAAACCUCCACAAGCAAGAGCCCCCGCUCUAACUAACAGAAUUUCUGUCCAUAAAGACCCGGCUAAGGCCGAUCAACGAACCGAGUUACCCUAGGGAUAACAGCGCAAUCCUCUUCUAGAGACCCUAUCGACAAGAGGGUUUACGACCUCGAUGUUGGAUCAGGACAUCCUAAUGGUGCAGCCGCUAUUAAGGGUUUGUUUGUUCAACAAUUAAUAGUCCUACGUGAUCUGAGUUCAGACCGG